rnacentral:rRNA from 1 species
CGUAGGGAAUCUUCGGGCAAUCGGGGGCAACCCGUGACCCGAGCAACGCCGCGUGUGUGAAGAAGGCUUCGGGUUGUAAAGCACUUUGUCUGGAAAGAAAUCCUUGGCUCUAAUACAGUCGGGGGAUGACGGUACCGGAAGAAUAAGCACCGGCUAACUACAUGCCAGCAGCCGCGGUAAUACGUAGGGUGCAAGCGUUAAUCGGAAUUACUGGGCGUAAAGCGUGCGCAGGCGGUUUGCUAAGACCGAUGUGAAAUCCCCGGGCUCAACCUGGGAACUGCAUUGGUGACUGGCAGGCUAGAGUAUGGCAGAGGGGGGUAGAAUUUCACGUGUAGCAGUGAAAUGCGUAGAGAUGUGGAGGAAUACCGAUGGCGAAGGCAGCCCCCUGGGCCAAUACUGACGCUCAUGCACGAAAGCGUGGGGAGCAAACAGGAUUAGAUACCCUGGUAGUCCACGCCCUAAACGAUGUCAACUAGUUGUUGGGGAUUCAUUUCCUUAGUAACGUAGCUAACGCGUGAACGUUGACCGCCUGGGGAGUACGGUCGGUCGACGCGGCCG